GAUGAACGCUAGCUACAGGCUUAACACAUGCAAGUCGAGGGGCAGCGGUAUCGAAAGCUUGCUUUCGGUAGCCGGCGACCGGCGCACGGGUGAGUAACGCGUAUCGAACCUGCCUCAUACUCGGGAAUAGCCUUGCGAAAGUAAGAUUAAUGCCCGGUGUUUUCAGAGUCCCGCAUGAGGCUUUGAACAAAGAUUUAUCGGUAUGAGAUGGCGAUGCGUCCCAUUAGCUUGUUGGCGGGGUAACGGCCCACCAAGGCAUCGAUGGGUAGGGGUUCUGAGAGGAAGGUCCCCCACAUUGGAACUGAGACACGGUCCAAACUCCUACGGGAGGCAGCAGUGAGGAAUAUUGGUCAAUGGGCGGAAGCCUGAACCAGCCAAGUAGCGUGCAGGAAGACGGCCCUCCGGGUUGUAAACUGCUUUUAGUUGGGAAUAAAACGGGGCUCGUGAGCCCCCUUGCAUGUACCAUCAUAAAAAGGACCGGCUAAUUCCGUGCCAGCAGCCGCGGUAAUACGGAAGGUCCGGGCGUUAUCCGGAUUUAUUGGGUUUAAAGGGAGCGCAGGCGGACCUUUAAAUCAGCUGUGAAAUACGGCGGCUCAACCGUCGAACUGCAGUUGAUACUGGAGGUCUUGAGUGCACACAGGGAUGCUGGAAUUCAUGGUGUAGCGGUGAAAUGCUCAGAUAUCAUGAGGAACUCCGAUCGCGAAGGCAGGCAUCCGGGGUGCAACUGACGCUGAGGCUCGAAAGUGCGGGUAUCAAACAGGAU
rnacentral:rRNA from 1 species